rnacentral:tRNA from 1 species
UGAGGUAUGGUUCAGUGGUAGAGCUCUCGCCUGGUAUGUGUGAGUCUCUGGGUUCAAUUCUCAACACUUCAA